AGUCGACCGCCUGGGGAGUACGGCCGCAAGGUUAAAACUCAAAUGAAUUGACGGGGGCCCGCACAAGCGGUGGAGCAUGUGGUUUAAUUUGAUGCAACGCGAAGAACCUUACCUACUCUUGACAUCCAGAGAACUUUCCAGAGAUGGAUUGGUGCCUUCGGGAACUCUGAGACAGGUGCUGCAUGGCUGUCGUCAGCUCGUGUUGUGAAAUGUUGGGUUAAGUCCCGCAACGAGCGCAACCCUUAUCCUUUGUUGCCAGCGGUUAGGCCGGGAACUCAAAGGAGACUGCCAGUGAUAAACUGGAGGAAGGUGGGGAUGACGUCAAGUCAUCAUGGCCCUUACGAGUAGGGCUACACACGUGCUACAAUGGCGCAUACAAAGAGAAGCGACCUCGCGAGAGCAAGCGGACCUCAUAAAGUGCGUCGUAGUCCGGAUUGGAGUCUGCAACUCGACUCCAUGAAGUCGGAAUCGCUAGUAAUCGUAGAUCAGAAUGCUACGGUGAAUACGUUCCCGGGCCUUGUACACACCGCCCGUCACACCAUGGGAGUGGGUUGCAAAAGAAGUAGGU
rnacentral:rRNA from 1 species